UACGAAGGGGGCUAGCGUUGUUCGGAAUUACUGGGCGUAAAGCGCGCGCAGGUGGUCUUUCAAGUCAGUGGUGAAAGCCCGGAGCUCAACUCCGGAAAUGCCAUUGAAACUGUAAGACUUGAGGAUGAGAGAGGUGAGUGGAAUUCCCAGUGUAGAGGUGAAAUUCGUAGAUAUUGGGAAGAACACCGGUGGCGAAGGCGACUUACUGGACACAUAUUGACGCUGAGGUGCGAAAGCGUGGGGAGCAAACAGG
rnacentral:rRNA from 1 species